rnacentral:RNase_P_RNA from 1 species
AUCGGGGGUUAUUCUAUCGCUGGUCGUGCUUACAAUAGGUUCGACGAGAGGAAAGUCCGGGCAACAUAGAGCCGCCAUACUUCCUAACGGGAAGGGGCGUGUAGUGGCAACGCUCACGCUACAGAUAGCGCCGCAGAAAAGAAACCGCUUGCUACCGCAAGUAAGGGUGAAAACGCGAGGUAAGAGCUCACGACGGGUCUGGCAACAAACCCGAUGGCAAGCCUUAUGGGUUGAAAGACCAAAUAUACCAACAGUCAAGAGUUGGCUCGCUCGUUGUUGGGGGGUAGGUCGAUAGAGGCCGUUGGCGACAACGGCAGUAGAUUAAUGAUAGAACACUGCUCUAUAU